UAGAAAAAUAAAAGUUAGAAUUCCCCUUUUCUGUUUGGUAUCUUGCCACAACACUGAAUGAAGUCUCAAAAAUUUUACAUAUUUUAAAUAAACAAAUCUUAACCACUGAAUCAUUUUAGAGGUUAUGUUUGCUCAAAACAUUUGUUUUGUUUCAUAAUGGCGUUUCACAUACGGUAUAUGCACUUUUAAUAAGUGCUCCCUUUGGGAACUUCCCGAUGAGAAGUAAAAAAAAAAAUGACUGGUCGUUGCGUUGUAUUUAUGGAACAAUAACCUGCCCUACUGCUACCGCCUCUGAUUGGCUACUGGGUAGUACCAAGACAGGACUCUUUUAGUGGAUAAUGAUUCACUGAAGAACUUCAGCAACAACACAUGUACAUAGGUAAGUAAUGCUGUGCAUCUGUGCAUCUGCGGUCACAGAUUUAUCAUGUUUUAUGCGUCCCUGUUCUUUUUUGUGCGUCUCAGACGCAGGAUGCACAUCAAAUGAGAUCCCUGCAAUGGUAACAAGCAACGCGCCUAAUAGGAAGACUGGACUCUUUUGGUACCAAGUCUCUGAGAAGAGCCCUCGGGUACUAGAAAACCCACCCAGGCACAGGGAGAACAUGCAAACUCCACACAGGCGGGGCCGGGAUUUGAAACCCGGUCCUCAUAACUGUGCGGCUGACGCUCUAAACAUGUCGCCCGCCGUGCCACUGGAACUGGCUAAUUAAAGCAAAACAAGCACAGGGCUUUCACUAAUUACAACUACAUUUCGUAUAAUGGUGAGUUGUAUUCAUAAUAUUUUUUUAUUUGUUUAUUUGCUGUGCUGUAAAACCAUUGCUUUAAAUAAAACCGGUCUGUGGCGGAAUACUACUCCCUGGAGUCCCACCCACAUGACUGGUCUCAAUCGCUAAGUGACGCCAAACAGAUGGGAAGCCACUUUCACCUGCAAACUUGUACCUUUCUGUUCAGUACCUGCAGACAUUCUUCUAUCGGUCUCACAAUCCAUCCUCGCCUCCCUCGUGAACAAGAUCCCUAUCGGCCUCACACAGUUCCUCCAGAAGGACACAGGCAUUUUCAGUCUCUCCAGAAUACCAGUAUAGUACCAAAUGAGCCAUGGACUGGUACCAGUCCACGGUCUGAUGGUUUGGAGCCACCGGUGGAACGUACAGGUCUACCUGGGCCCCCAUACACAAGUACACCUCUACUUUCAAACUAGAACAGGAGACAUUGUGGAUCCCUGUGCGAUCCAAAUAGGCCUCUGUCAAACACCUGGUUUGUUGUCUGCGUAUAAUCUAUUAUCCACCUCUCCACCAGAAAAAUUCCCUUCCUCCCGCAUGAGCACGACGGAAAACAAACAGAUGCUCAUUAGCAUGUGCGAGCCGUUGGUGGUAAACAGGCUUAUUUCCACAUGAGUGCAGCGUGAGAAUGGAUUCCAGGCCGGACGGUUCGAGGCUUUUCAGCAACACAUGGAUGAGAGAAAGAAAUCUGCAUUUGGCAAAACAUUUUAGCUUUCUCACUGGCAUUUUUGCAGCAAUUUAUAGAUGAUUUCACAUCAGAAGACAUUAUUGGCAAGAAAUCAUGCGUUUGUAUUUUUGUAUUUUUUUUCAUGGAUGAUGUCACAUGGGAGAUCAGCAUUAUUGGGCAAGAUAUCAUGUACUUUGCUGUUUCUUUGGCCUUUUUGUGGCUUUUUUGCGACAAUUCAUGAAUGUCAGUAUACAAAUACAAAUACAAAGUCAGUAUUCUUGGCAAAACAUGUUUUCGUUUUUUUUUUUUUUUUGUUUAUUUCAGAUUGUACAAAUGUUGUUAUAGCCACAUGAUUCUCAGAUGAAGAAGUGUCAAGUCGGCACUCCAUGUAGAGUGCCGACUGAUGACUAGCCAGUGAGUGUGUGUCAUCAGCUCAUAAAUGUGCUUCACUUCCAUAACUUUAAUACAAUAAAAUAUUGA